UUUCUCUUAAAUUUGAUUGCUCAUGAUAAACUGAAUCCAUUCGUGACUCCGUUCCAUUCCUUCAUGAUGCUGCAUGCAUGAAUUGCAGGUGAAUAUGAUGUUGAUUCGACGAUGGUGGAAUUAGUGAGCUGUUAUACGCCCGACGAUUCGCUUCACAACAUAAGCCUGGCAAUGCAUCACUGCAAUGUCGCCCAUGUUUCAAAAAUCCAAUAUCCCCUGAGCAUCUUCUUACCAACCAUUCAUGAAUGACUGAUUGUAUGACAAUUGUAGCAUCUUUAACAGUCUGAUUUUUGUUUCUUUCAAACACAACUUUUCUGUUUCUGUAUAAUAACAGCAGCUUUAUGUCUCUGAAGCAAAGCAACAUAUUCCUUUCUUGUUUCCUCUAGCUAGUGGUGAGACAAUGUUGGAAGAAGGUAAUACACUGAAAAUGGAUUUGGCUCGUCAUGUAGAUGGGUUCAUUACACUUAUUGGAAUGCACAUUAUUGUCAUCUUUUGCCUUUUCUUUUCUUUUUAUGCUGUGACUUCAUUUCAGCACUCAGUCUUUGACGGUUAGCUGAUAUUGCAAACUUCAUGGACUCGACAUCAAAUGAAAUUCUCAAUCCUUCAUUUUGUUUGCUAACUCUUGUAAAUCCAGAGCGUGAUGCACUACGGGACAAGCUGCCCUUGGCAGGUUCGUCUUGGCUUUGAAGUUUGCCAAAAAUGCAAUGUUGCUGCCGACAGAAUUUCCACGCUUGUGGAUAUGUUGCAUCACAAUAUUCACUAAGAGCGAAAUUGAACACCAUUUCUAAUGACAACUCCAUCAUGCUGUCAACCCAAGUAUGAUAGCAUCGUGUAACCCCGCAACGUCAACCAGACCGCAAUGUCUUCAAGUAUUCAAAACAAAACUGCAGAAGUGACUCAUCCGGUUUGUUUGGUGGUGAACUCUGCAGAACUCAUUGUAUUUGCUGUUGUGCAGGAACUUGGUUUACGACAUAGAAUUCGUAGGAAGAUCAUUUUCCAUUGCGAAAGAAAAACCUUAUUGGCGAAGGAUGCACCAGUUGAUGUUAUGGCUCACAACUUAAUUUUUUGUAACUCUGUAGUUUUGUGACUUGUAAUAAUUGUAAUAUUUGAUGUGAAUAAAAUAAUGGGUGACCUUGUGGCAAAACAAAAUUGUUCUCUUGUACCUUAGAACUUCCCGAUAUUCAUGUGAUGAAGUGCUUUAUUCAUAUGCCAUGUAAACGGAUGAUUAUGAUUGAAUGAAUGAAUGAGUACGUGAAAUUUCUUGAAUA